GCACUUUCUUGAGUAGUGUGACAUAGGAAGUUGGCUCUGGUUGAAUGGCAAAAGGACGUCGCCCUCAAUGGCAGCACUGCAAGGCAAUUUAUUAUACCAGUUCUUCGCAAUUUGUUCUGCUAUACACUUUGCUUUGGAGUUCUGGGCGAGAGCCGACCUGUCUUUUGAGUUUCUGUAGAUGUUAAAGCCUUUAAAAAGCUCUUCUAAAUCAACUGCAGGUAGUCAGGUUUGAAGUUUAAUUCAUCAGUGUACGAAGAUAUGAAAAGAAUGCCAGCCAUUCAUCUUUCACUAAAGAGCUUUAAUGAGCUUUAUAAACUUAGAGAGAGAGAGAGAGAGAGCGAGAGAGCGAGAGCUAACCAUCACAGUGUACCGAAUGUAACAGAGGAAGCAAACAGUGUAGAAGAGCACAAAGGCUGAGGCAACAUUUCAGGAAACCCAUGGCAGUUUCAAAUCAGCGCUGGAAGCAGAAAUAUGUCUGUCUUGAAAAAGCAAACACAAAAAACAAGGAGAAUCAAUCAGUUUAGGGUGUUCUUGCCUUGGCAGUGAAGGUAACAAAAUUCCACUCCCUACUGCAAACAUGUGAAACAUGUUGCUGUCCUUGCAACUAGGCAAAAAAGUUAAAAGGAAAAGAAAAAGAACAAGAACGACGGCAAAGAAGAAAGUGGCUUAUCCUCUUACGAUAUUCAAAUGUGGGAAGGCGAAUUUGAAUUUUGGAUCAACUUGUUCAUUCAAUUAGAUUUAGUCAUCGGAUUAGCUCGAAUUGGUUGCUGGUUCUGUCCUUAAGUUUUCAUGUAGAUGGAAGGGAAGAAUUUUCUUUAUUCUUCUUCAACAUAUUGGCCUUGCAGCAUCUUUGGCGAAAUGUGUGAAAUCUCCAUGAAAAUCUUAUUCUUUGAUCUGAAGCAAAAAUGUAAAAUGAAAAGGAAUAGGCUUUUGUAAAGCUAAGCUCUGAGCAUAUCUUGGGAAGCACACCAAGAAAAAGAGAGAAAAAAGAGAGAUGGACUUGCUUGUUGAAGCAUAUGUUCUUGUUAUUCAUUUAUUUAUUUUCUUUUCAAAAUUUCGACUUUGCUCGAAGACUCACGUUUGCAAAUUAAAAAAAAUGAUAGAUGUCUCCACAUGUUGAAUUA